CACGUAGGGUGCGAGCGUUGUCCGGAAUUAUUGGGCGUAAAGAGCUCGUAGGCGGUGUGUCGCGUCGGCCGUGAAAACCUGCAGCUUAACUGUGGGCUUGCGGUCGAUACGGGCAUCACUGGAGUUCGGCAGGGGAGACUGGAAUUCCUGGUGUAGCGGUGAAAUGCGCAGAUAUCUGGAGGAACACCGGUGGCGAAGGCGGCAUCCUGGACCGGCAUUGACGCUGAGGCGCGAAAGCCAGGGGAGCAAACGGG
rnacentral:rRNA from 1 species